rnacentral:rRNA from 1 species
GUGGGUACGGGCAGACUAGAGUGCGGUAGGGGAGAUUGGAAUUCCUGGUGUAGCGGUGGAAUGCGCAGAUAUCAGGAGGAACACCGAUGGCGAAGGCAGAUCUCUGGGCCGUAACUGACGCUGAGGAGCGAAAGGGUGGGGAGCAAACAGGCUUAGAUACCCUGGUAGUCCACCCCGUAAACGUUGGGAACUAGUUGUGGGGUCCUUUCCACGGAUUCCGUGACGCAGCUAACGCAUUAAGUUCCCCGCCUGGGGAGUACGGCCGCAAGGCUAAAACUCAAAGGAAUUGACGGGGACCCGCACAAGCGGCGGAGCAUGCGGAUUAAUUCGAUGCAACGCGAAGAACCUUACCAAGGCUUGACAUACACGAGAACACCCUAGAAAUAGGGGACUCUUUGGACACUCGUGAACAGGUGGUGCAUGGUUGUCGUCAGCUCGUGUCGUGAGAUGUUGGGUUAAGUCCCGCAACGAGCGCAACCCUCGUUCUAUGUUGCCAGCACGUAAUGGUGGGAACUCAUGGGAUACUGCCGGGGUCAACUCAGAAGAAGGUGGGGAUGACGUCAAAUCAUCAUGCCCCUUAUGUCUUGGGCUUCACGCAUGCUACAAUGG